UGCAAUCUAUGAUGCAAACGUCCCAUUAUCAUGAUUUUUCAGUGAUUAUAUCUAAAAUUAUCACCAUCUUUCGGCUGAGAUUGCA